UCACACAGCUCCUUUAAAAAAGAAAACAAUCUCCCCUAGCGGAUAACUAUCAACUCUCCCUAACUGUGGGCCUUCAAGCAGCCACCAAUAAAGAGUGCGUCACAGCUCUAUCAACCAAAAAUCCAACAAUAAAAUGACUCCCUUCUCACUAACAGGCUAACCUAUACUUAUAGGAGAAUCAAUGCUAAAAUGAGUAACUAGGGAUCCCCCUCUUAAGCGUAAACUUACAUCCCCACAUUAUUAACAGAUUACAAACCAAUACCCUAAUUUCAACAAGAUUAAAAUAUUGAGUCCCACUCUGUUAACCCAACCCAGGUGCGCUUAUUAGAAAGAUUAAAAUCUGUAAAAGGAACUAGGCAAACUCAAGGCCCGACUGUUUACCAAAAACAUAGCCUUCAGCCAGCCAAGUAUUGAAGGUGAUGCCUGCCCAGUGACACAAUGUUUAACGGCCGCGGUAUCCUAACCGUGCGAAGGUAGCGCAAUCAAUUGUCCCAUAAAUCGAGACUUGUAUGAAUGGCUAAACGAGGUCUUAACUGUCUCUUACAGAUAAUCAGUGAAAUUGAUCCCCCUGUUCAAAAGCAGGGAUACAUUCAUAAGACGAGAAGACCCUGUGGAACUUAAAAAUCAACAGCCACUGCUUACAAACCUAAACCUAAUAGGCCUACUACCCCCUAAUGCUGGCUGAUAUUUUUCGGUUGGGGCGACCUUGGAGAAAAACAAAUCCUCCAAAAAUAAGAUCACACCUCUUAACCAAGAGCAACUCCUCAACGUACUAAUAGUAACCAGACCCAAUAUAAUUGAUAAAUGGACCAAGCUACCCCAGGGAUAACAGCGCAAUCUCCUCUAAGAGCCCACAUCGACGAGGAGGUUUACGACCUCGAUG
rnacentral:rRNA from 1 species